AGCUUGUUGGUGGGGUAAUGGCCUACCAAGGCAUCGACGGGUAGCUGGUCUGAGAGGAUGAUCAGCCACACUGGGACUGAGACACGGCCCAGACUCCUACGGGAGGCAGCAGUGGGGAAUCUUGCGCAAUGGGCGAAAGCCUGACGCAGCAACGCCGCGUGCGGGAAGAAGGCUCUCGGGUUGUAAACCGCUUUCAGCAGGAACGAAAAUGACGGUACUUGCAGAAGAAGGUGCGGCCAACUACGUGCCAGCAGCCGCGGUGACACGUAGGCACCAAGCGUUGUCCGGAUUUAUUGGGCGUAAAGCGCUCGUAGGCGGUUCGGUAAGUCAGGUGUGAAAACUUUGGGCUUAACCCAAAGCCUGCAUCUGAUACUGCCGUGACUAGAGUUCGGUAGGGGAGUGGGGAAUUCCUAGUGUAGCGGUGAAAUGCGCAGAUAUUAGGAGGAACACCGGUGGCGAAGGCGCCACUCUGGGCCGAUACUGACGCUGAGGAGCGAAAGCGUGGGUAGCAAACAGGAUUAGAUACCCUGGUAGUCCACGCCGUAAACGUUG
rnacentral:rRNA from 1 species